rnacentral:rRNA from 1 species
GACGAACGCUGGUGGCGUGCUUAACACAUGCAAGUCGAACGGUGAAGCGCCUUCCUUUUUGGUGGGUGUGGAUGAGUGGCGAACGGGUGAGUAACACGUGAGUAACCUGCCCCCUUCUUCUGGAUAACCGCAUGAAAGUGUGGCUAAUACGGGAUAUUCUGGGUCUGUCGCAUGAUGGGUCUGGGAAAGAUAUUGUUUCGGUGGGGGAUGGGCUCGCGGCCUAUCAGCUUGUUGGUGGGGUGAUGGCCUACCAAGGCGGUGACGGGUAGCCGGCCUGAGAGGGUGGACGGUCACACUGGGACUGAGACACGGCCCAGACUCCUACGGGAGGCAGCAGUGGGGAAUAUUGCACAAUGGGCGCAAGCCUGAUGCAGCGACGCCGCGUGAGGGAUGGAGGCCUUCGGGUUGUGAACCUCUUUCGCCAGUGAAGCAGGCCUGCCUCGUUUGUGGGUGGGUUGACGGUAGCUGGAGAAGAAGCGCCGGCUAACUACGUG